rnacentral:rRNA from 1 species
UACGUAGGGUGCAAGCGUUGUCCGGAAUUAUUGGGCGUAAAGAGCUCGUAGGCGGUCUGUCGCGUCGAAUGUGAAAACCCGGGGCUCAACCCCGGGCCUGCAUUCGAUACGGGCAGACUAGAGUUCGGUAGGGGAGUCUGGAAUUCCUGGUGUAGCGGUGAAAUGCGCAGAUAUCAGGAGGAACACCGGUGGCGAAGGCGGGUCUCUGGGCCAUUACUGACGCUGAGGAGCGAAAGCGUGGGGAGCGAACAGG